rnacentral:rRNA from 1 species
GAUGAACGCUAGCGGCAGGCUUAAUACAUGCAAGUCGAGGGGCAGCAGUCCCGCAGCAAUGCGGGAGCUGGCGACCGGCAAACGGGUGCGGAACACGUACAGAACCUUCCUUCGAGCGGGGAAUAGCCCAGAGAAAUUUGGAUUAAUACCCCAUAGCAUUACGAAGUGGCAUCACUUUGUAAUUAAAGAUUUAUCACUCGAAGAUGGCUGUGCGGCUGAUAGGUAGUUGGCGGAGUAACGGCCCACCAAGCCUUCGAUCAGUAACUGGUGUGAGAGCACGACCAGUCACACGGGCACUGAGACACGGGCCCGACUCCUACGGGAGGCAGCAGUAAGGAAUAUUGGUCAAUGGACGAAAGUCUGAACCAGCCAUGCCGCGUGGAGGAUGAAGGUCCU